CCUGCCCGUGAAGUGUUGCAGGUGUGGCUGCUGUGUCACGCGUGCAUCAGCAGGUGGCAGAGAGGAGAGAGGUGGUGUCCACACUCAGGGUCCUGACCUACCAAUAUCCGAAGAAUUAGAAGCCUAACACU
ensembl:snoRNA